GAAGCCUAAUUCAUAUUAUGUUCUUUGAUCGAAACCAAAAUAAGAAAGACAAAAGAGAAAAUAAAACCUAGUUCAGCCAUUCUCAAGCUCGAUCAAGAUCAAGAAUCAAAGAAAUCGGAUUUGGAUCAGGGGAAAACAAAAGUCGUCGACUAACUAUCCGGUUCCGUUUUAUAUUGUCCGAGCUAACGUAGCGCCGGAAAUGUCAUCGAAGAAGGGGAAAGAGAAAAUGAACGAGGAUAUCGAGUAAACUCGAGAAUUACGGUUAAAGACAGAUCGUCGAAUCAGCAUCAUAAGCCGAUCCCGAACUCAAAAAGAUUUUGGAAUCUAAUUACGAGCUCGGGGAUCGUCAGCAAAGUCCAUCACACUAUCGACUUUUUUUGGUAUUUUAUAAGUUUAAACUUGGAUCUAUGGCAUGUAUAGGCUAGAUUACAUUUAGUUAAGUUUGAAUUUGAAUAUGUAUUAAGCCAUGCAAAUAUGGCUUGUUUAUUUUAUUAGGCUCGAUUUUAAGGUUUGAUCAAAUUUUGGUUAUA